AACGAACGCUGGCGGCAGGCCUAACACAUGCAAGUCGAACGCCGUAGCAAUACGGAGUGGCAGACGGGUGAGUAACACGUGGGAACGUACCCUUCGGUUCGGGAUAACUCAGGGAAACUUGAGCUAAUACCGGAUACGUCCGAGAGGAGAAAGAUUUAUUGCCGAGGGAUCGGCCCGCGUCUGAUUAGCUUGUUGGUGAGGUAACGGCUCACCAAGGCGACGAUCAGUAGCUGGUCNGAGAGGAUGAUCAGCCACAUUGGGACUGAGACACGGCCCAAAACUCCUACGGGAGGGCAGCAGUGGGGAAGUAUUGGGACAAUGGGCGGCAAGCCUGAUCCACGCCAUGCCG
rnacentral:rRNA from 1 species